AUAAUUCUAGGUACACUUUCCAGUACACCUACUAUGUUACGACUUAUCUCAUUAAUUAAUGAAAGUGACGGGCGAUAUGUACAUAAUUUAGAGCUCCUAUCUUACAAGCUUAUUAAACUCAUAUUACUAUCAAAUCCUCCUUCCUAGACCAAUCUUACUGAUCUUAUCCAUUUAAAUAAAAUUUAUUGUAACCCAUUUAAACUUAUUCAUAAGCUGCACCUUGAUCUAAUUUUCUUAACAACUCAAUUUCAAUAAUAUAUCUUUUAAAAUUAUCUAAUAAUGACGGUAUACAAACUAAAAAUAAGUAAGAUAUUACGAGGUAUAUCGAUCAAACUUAAACAGGUUCCUCUGACAAGACUAAAUUACCGCCAAAUUCUUUAAAUUUUAAGUUAUAUCUAUAAAUAAUUCAAUAUUUAUUUAUUAAACUUUAAUAUAAUAGGGUAUCUAAUCCUAGUUUAUCUUUAAAGCUUAUUAACCUCCUUUAAAUAUUUUAAAAUUUAUAAAACAACAAUAAUUUCACCUACUGAUAUUCAUAAAAUUAUAUUAUACCCUUCAUAAGUAAUUACAAUACCUAUUUCUUUAUUUAACCUCAAAGUCUAACCGCGAAUGCUGGCACAAAUAUUUUAUCAGAUUAAUUUAUUAUUCACUAGUUCACACUUUCACAUAUUUACUAAAUCUUUACGCUGAGAAUAUAAGUAAUCAUUAUGAUAAUUAUACUCACUUAUAGUUACUAAUAUAAAAUUAGAUUUUUUUCACUAAAAUAACCUUCAUGCGAUAUUAAUAAUAUAACAAAGACUUUAAGCCAGAAUCAAACAUUAG
rnacentral:rRNA from 1 species